CAAGUUGAAGGGGCUAGCACGGAAGUAGAUUAACAAAACAAGUGAAUAGACAGCUACAAUCUGCGUGCUAUAAUGAUUAAUACAAGUGUUAUGAAUGGCUCGUAUGUUGACAUUUUACAGCAGAGCACAUCACCCAUUAAGAAUUAACAGUGCCGUAUAUUUCUGUUCUGGAUUUCUGAUACAUUUGAUUUGGGAUAUUUGCGACAUUUAGAGUUGGAUCUUUGAACUUUGUAUUAUUCAACAUUUAAUAGAUUCUGAUAACACGAAAUUCAAACUAGCUCUUUACUUUGUAAUGCACAGUGAUUAAUGACAUAGUGUUGUAUAUUGUACUGAACUCUGAUACCAAUGCACUGUGCACUGACAUAAAUAUGAGACUAACUUAAAACUUUUCAUUUCAAAGUCUCUGGCGUAGUCCUCGUCACUGUGCUUAAUGAACGGGUUGUGAUGUGAUUGUUUACCUUGACAAAUAGCGUACACACAUACACCUACAUGCACAUAGACACACUGUCAAUGUGAACACAUCUGUUAAAUCAAGCCAGGAGGUCAUGUAAACAAUAUUGUGUUCGAACUUAUACACGGAUAUAGACGGGCAUCACUACUGUACUAUCUAUUCUGUUCUGGGUUUGUGGUUCGACAAAGCUUUCAAGACAUGGGCUGUCGUGAGAGUAAGACCAUCAGUGGAGAUGGCACCGACUUAAAACAGUUUCGCCAAGAGGCACUCGCAGCGCACAACAACAGACGUUCCAAGCAUGGAGCCCCGGCACUUAA
rnacentral:sRNA from 13 species